GGAGCUGAAUAUGACUGAAUAGGCUGAGUGGGGUAGUAGAAAGAACAAGAACAGGGUGAUCGGGUUUGGCAUCACUGCGUUCAUUCAGUUCUACCCUAGGUAGUUCCUGGACUAAUCUCUAGAAAAACAUGACCUUGAACAAGCCCCUUAACCUUCAUGUACUCAGUUUCUCUACUGAACAAUGUAGAGGAUAUUCUGCAUUUGGGGACAUGAAGGUCCCAUGCAAUAGUGUUGAUGUAUGUGUUUGAAGAUCUGCAUACUAAGAAGUAAGAACACUCAUAAAAUAUGGAUAAAGGAAGCUUCAGGGGAUUCUUCCUCAAAGUACUAAAGGCAGUUGGCAAGAUCCUGACUGUGCUGUCAGGAUAAUGCAUGCUGAGAGGUCUCUGGAAAUGACUGAGGAAAAUCCGACGUCCAGCCUGCAGCUCAGUGAACUUGGAGUUCUGAGAGCUGUUUAGAAAUGUUCAGAUCCAGUCUAAAGUCAUACGCUAUUUUUAAGGUUAGCAUUGAGGAAGGUUUGGUGGCAAGGAAAAUAAGUGGCAAUCCAGUUUAAAGGUUAGGUAGUCAGGGCAGCAAAAAGAAGGUUUUAGAGUAAAACAUAAAUGCAAUGUAAUCUGGGCAGAGGGGUUAGGAAGAAGAAGAUAAUGGAUAUUCCUCCUGAGACAAGGAUGUCUAUACUCCUAGGAGUCAACUGGGACUUACCAUGUCCUUGACACUCCUUCCACCUGUCUGAGGAAGGCACAGGUGCCCUUUCUCACUCAAUACAGGCUUAUUCUUAGAAUUUAGGGAUCUGUAUCCCAGGUGCUGAGAUAUGACGGUAAACAUGUGAAAACUAAGUCCUGGGAGUGCCUCCAACUCCCUUGCCAUGUGAGCAUCUGUUUGCAGAGCUGGUCUACCCAUCCAGAUUCACCCAGGAGUCUGUGUUCCUAAAGGAACUCACUGUGCCACUUGGUGGCACCAAAAAGUUGCGCAAAGAACUCUUCUCUAUAAAUACAAACUACCACCCCUCCCUCCUCCGCUCUCUCCCCUUCCCCCCUUCCCCCCUUUCUCAGUAGCGGGGAGAUUGCUGCACACGCCGCCCUCAGCUCGGCUGUUCUGCGCACGCUGAGCGGAGGGGAUGAGCUUGAGAUCAUCUUGGGGGGGAAGCCGGGGACUGGAGAGGCCGGCUCUGCCCCGCUGAUCCCUGUGGCCCAACUUUUCGGGGGGCUAGCUAGACCGAGUCUCACUGCUCGCUGCGCAGCCAACAGGGGGGUUUAGAAGAUCGUGACCACAUGGAUCAUCUAACUGAAUGGUACAUGGGGACACAAUGGUCCUAUAGAGAAUAUAUGUGAAUUGUUGGCUAAUUUCUUGAUUUGCGACUCAACAUAGGACAUCGCUUGUUCAUAUCUAUCAGAACACUCCUGAAUUUUCCCCACCAUGCUAUCUUUAUUA
rnacentral:lncRNA from 1 species